rnacentral:rRNA from 1 species
GACGAACCGAGCGAACGUUGUUCGGAAUCACUGGGCUUAAAGGGCGCGUAGGCGGGCUGUCAAGUCUGGGGUGAAAUCCCGCGGCUCAACCGCGGAACUGCCUCAGAUACUGACGGUCUCGAGGGGGGUAGGGGCGAGCGGAACUGAUGGUGGAGCGGUGAAAUGCGUUGAUAUCAUCAGGAACUCCGGUGGCGAAGGCGGCUCGCUGGACCUCUUCUGACGCUGAGGCGCGAAAGCUAGGGGGAGCAAACGGG